GAGAAGAGUGUGAUCCUGAAGUCGCGCAGACACGGGUUCAAAUCUCGCCUCUGCCCCUUGUUGGCUGACGGGCUUUGGGGAAUACGUUUCCGGUGAUCAAUCGGUGGAAGCUUCCAGAAGAAGAUGUAGACUCCCUUUCUAGCCCCUUCCUCGGCUUUGCGGCCCUGUUUUCUCAAACGGCCCAUUUUCAUCCCAAGGAAGGAACGAGCCCUGUGACAUAGUUUGGAAAACAGUGGACUAA